rnacentral:rRNA from 1 species
GUGGGGAAUUUUGGACAAUGGGCGCAAGCCUGAUCCAGCAAUGCCGCGUGCAGGAAGAAGGCCUUCGGGUUGUAAACUGCUUUUGUACGGAACGAAAAGGCUCUGGCUAAUACCUGGAGCUCAUGACGGUACCGUAAGAAUAAGCACCGGCUAACUACGUGCCAGCAGCCGCGGUAAUACGUAGGGUGCGAGCGUUAAUCGGAAUUACUGGGCGUAAAGCGUGCGCAGGCGGUGCUGUAAGACAGGCGUGAAAUCCCCGGGCUCAACCUGGGAAUUGCGCUUGUGACUGCAGCGCUGGAGUGCGGCAGAGGGGGAUGGAAUUCCGCGUGUAGCAGUGAAAUGCGUAGAUAUGCGGAGGAACACCGAUGGCGAAGGCAGCCCCCUGGGCCAAUACUGACGCUCAUGCACGAAAGCGUGGGGAGCAAACAGGAUUAGAUACCCUUGUAGUCC